rnacentral:rRNA from 1 species
GAGUUUGAUCCUGGCUCAGAACGAACGCUGGCGGCGUGCCUAACACAUGCAAGUCGAACGUGAUCCAGAGCUUGCUCUGGUGAAAGUGGCGCACGGGUGAGUAACGCGUGGAUAACCUACCCUGGUAUCCGGGAUAACAUUCCGAAAGGGGUGCUAAUACCGGAUAAGCCCACGGGCUCUUUGGAGCUUGCGGGAAAAGGUGGCCUCUAUUUAUAAGCUACUGUAUCAGGAUGGGUCCGCGUACCAUUAGCUAGUUGGCGGUGUAACGGACCACCAAGGCGACGAUGGUUAGCUGGUCUGAGAGGAUGAUCAGCCACACUGGAACUGAGACACGGUCCAGACUCCUACGGGAGGCAGCAGUGGGGAAUUUUGCGCAAUGGGGGAAACCCUGACGCAGCAACGCCGCGUGAGUGAUGAAGGCCUUUGGGUCGUAAAGCUCUGUCAGAGGGGAAGAAAUGAUAUAGUGCUAAUACCACUUUAUCUUGACGGUACCCUCAAAGGAAGCACCGGCUWACUCCGUGCCAGCAGCCGCGGUAAUAC